GGCGGAGGGAAGCUCAUCAGUGGGGCCACGAGCUGAGUGCGUCCUGUCACUCCAUUCCCAUGUCCCUUGGGAAGGUCUGAGACUAGGGCCAGUAAGCGGCCCUAACAGGGCUCUCCCUGAUCUUCGGGGAGGUGAGUUCCCAGAGAAUGGGGCUCCGCGCGAGGUCAGACUGGGCAGGAGAUGCCGUGGACCCCGCCCUUCCGGGAGGGGCCCGGCGGAUGCCUCCUUUGCCGGAGCUUGGAACAGACUCACGGCCAGCGAAGUGAGUUCAAUGGCUGAGGUGAGGUACCCCGGAGGGGGGACCUCAUAACCCAAUUCAGACUACUCUCCCCCGCC
rnacentral:RNase_P_RNA from 1 species